rnacentral:lncRNA from 1 species
AGGUGCUGGUAGCCUGGUAUACACACGUUCGCCUCACAGAACUUCUCGGCAAACUGUCGACUCAAAGAGUCAAAAUACCUAAUUCACUCUCCAUCCAAUCAUCCAUGAUCCAUCAGUGAUCAAUCUUUUUUCAGUUUCCCACUCUCGAUCUCCUCUCGCUUUUUCCACUCAAUGUCACUUUCCCUUUUCGAUAUCUUGGUGGAUGGCGGGAUCGAUUCUGCUAUAGGUUCACUAGAUUGCUCGGCUUCCCA